rnacentral:rRNA from 1 species
CUGAUGGAGAGUUUGAUCCUGGCUCAGAGCGAACGCUGGCGGCGUGGUUUAGGCAUGCAAGUCGAGCGAAUUAUUUGGACUGAAGUUCUUGAAGCCGCAAGGCUGAUGGGAUGGAUGACUGAAUGAUUAGCGGCAAACGGGUGAGUAACGCGUGGGUAAUCUGCCUUUGAGUGGGGGAUAACGACCCGAAAGGGUCGCUAAUACCGCAUAAGCCCACAGCCUCGUAAGAGGUAGUGGGAGAAGCCGGGGACCGUAAGGCCUGGCGCUUAAAGAUGAGCCCGCGUCCCAUCAGCUAGUUGGUAGGGUAAUGGCCUACCAAGGCUAUGACGGGUAGCUGGCCUGAGAGGGUGGUCAGCCACACUGGGACUGAGACACUGCCCAGACUCCU